rnacentral:rRNA from 1 species
UAGGGAAUCUUCGGCAAUGGACGGAAGUCUGACCGAGCAACGCCGCGUGAGUGAAGAAGGUCUUCGGAUCGUAAAGCUCUGUUGUUAGAGAAGAACGUUGGUAGGAGUGGAAAAUCUACCAAGUGACGGUAACUAACCAGAAAGGGACGGCUAACUACGUGCCAGCAGCCGCGGGAAUACGUAGGUCGCGAGCGUUGUCCGGAUUUAUUGGGCGUAAAGCGAGCGCAGGCGGUUCUUUAAGUCUGAAGUUAAAGGCAGUGGCUUAACCAUUGUACGCUUUGGAAACUGGAGGACUUGGGUUCAGAAGGGGAGAGUGAAAUUCCAUUUGAAGCGGUGAAAUGCGUAGAUAUAUGGAGGAACACCGGUGGCGAAAGCGGCUCUCUGGUCUGUAACUGACGCUGAGGCUCGAAAGCGUGGGGAGCAAACAGG